UCUUUGGGUAAAUACCCAAUAGUGUGAUUACUGGAUCAUAGGGUAGUUCUAAUUUUGAUUCUUUGGGGAACCACCAUACUGUCUUCUACAGUGACCGCACCAGUUUGCAUUCCCACCAAUAGGGCUCCAGGAUUUCC